AGCAGCAUGGCGCAGUUGGAAGCGCGCGGGGCCCAUACGUUUGCGUACUUUGCACUAUAUAUAACCCCGAGGUCACUUGAUCGAAACAAGUUGCUGCUA